CAGUAGCCGCGGUAAUACGUAGGUGACAAGCGUUGUCCGGAAUUAUUGGGCGUAAAGGGCUCGCAGGCGGUUUCUUAAGUCUGAUGUGAAAGCCCCCGGCUCAACCGGGGAGGGUCAUUGGAAACUGGGAAACUUGAGUGCAGAAGAGGAGAGUGGAAUUCCACGUGUAGCGGUGAAAUGCGUAGAGAUGUGGAGGAACACCAGUGGCGAAGGCGACUCCCUGGUCUGUAACUGACGCUGAGGAGCGAAAGCCAGGGGAGCGAACGGGAUUAGAGACCCGCGUAGUCCCUGUCUCUUAUAC
rnacentral:rRNA from 1 species